GAUGAACGCUGGCGGCGUGCCUAAUACAUGCAAGUCGAGCGAACGGACGAGAAGCUUGCUUCUCUGAUGUUAGCGGCGGACGGGUGAGUAACACGUGGAUAACCUACCUAUAAGACUGGGAUAACUUCGGGAAACCGGAGCUAAUACCGGAUAAUAUUUUGAACCGCAUGGUUCAAAAGUGAAAGACGGUCUUGCUGUCACUUAUAGAUGGAUCCGCGCUGCAUUAGCUAGUUGGUAAGGUAACGGCUUACCAAGGCAACGAUGCAUAGCCGACCUGAGAGGGUGAUCGGCCACACUGGAACUGAGACACGGUCCAGACUCCUACGGGAGGCAGCAGUAGGGAAUCUUCCGCAAUGGGCGAAAGCCUGACGGAGCAACGCCGCGUGAGUGAUGAAGCUCUUCGGAUCGUAAAACUCUGUUAUUAGGGAAGAACAUAUGUGUAAGUAACUGUGCACAUCUUGACGGUACCUAAUCAGAAAGCCACGGCUAACUACGUG
rnacentral:rRNA from 1 species